GGCAUGAAUUUGCCUGUGACACGGCACGUGAACCUCCUUCAAUUUGGCGCACUAAUCCUAAAAUAAGGUAUGAAGUGUUAAAUGUUAGAAACACGCAGAACUGCGCUCAGACAAGGAGAAAGAGAGGGAGAAACGGAGGAGAGUGAGACGCACGCGCUGCUCUGGUGCGUCUGUGCAGAGACUGCAUAAAAAGAGAGAAAAAAAAUAACAAAAAAACGUGCGCUGCGCAAUUAGGCUAGAAACCUUGUGUUUUUUCUCUCCAUUUUCUGGAAGAUAAAAUAAAUAAAGAAAUCAAGCUGGCUCAGUGCAUGUCACAGCAGCCCGCUUUGACAGGUGCUGCUCAGCCCCUUUGGAGGACUGCUUUCAGCAGCAGCAGGAUGGCAUCAGAACUGGCAAUGAGCAACUCCGACCUGCCCACCAGUCCCCUGGCCAUGGAAUAUGUUAAUGACUUCGAUCUGAUGAAGUUUGAAGUGAAAAAGGAGCCGGUGGAGCCGGAUCGCAGCAUCAGCCAGUGCAGCCGCCUGAUCGCCGGGGGAUCCUUGUCUUCCACCCCGAUGAGCACGCCUUGCAGCUCGGUUCCCCCUUCCCCAAGCUUUUCGGCGCCCAGCCCGGGCUCCGGGAGCGAGCAGAAGGCUCACCUGGAGGAUUUCUACUGGAUGAGCGGCUACCAACAGCAGCUGAAUCCCGAAGCGCUGGGCUUCAGCCCCGAAGACGCGGUAGAGGCGCUGAUCAGCAGCAGCCACCAUCUCCAGUCCUUCGAUGGCUAUGCUAGAGGGCAGCAGUUCGCCGGGGUGGCCGGGGCAGGAGGCGGCAUGGCCGGGGAGGAGAUGGGCUCAGCAGCCGCUGUGGUAUCCGCUGUUAUCGCUGCAGCGGCAGCGCAGAACGGAGGUCCCCACCACCAUCACCACCACCACCACGCCGGGGGACACCACCCCUCCACAGGGGUCCCGUCCAACGCCAGUUCGGCAGGCAGCCACCAGCACAUAGGACACCUGGACCUGGACGACCGGUUUUCGGACGACCAGCUGGUGAGCAUGUCAGUACGGGAGCUGAACCGACAACUGCGCGGGGUCAGCAAGGAGGAGGUGAUCCGGCUGAAACAGAAGAGGAGGACCCUAAAGAACAGAGGCUAUGCCCAGUCCUGCCGCUACAAGCGGGUCCAGCAGAGACAUGUUCUGGAGGGCGAGAAGACGCAGCUGAUCCAGCAGGUGGACCACCUCAAGGCGGAGAUAUCGCGGCUGGCCAGGGAGCGGGACGCAUACAAGGACAAGUACGAGAAGCUCAUAACCAACGGCUGCAGGGAAAACGGCUCCGACAACACCCCCUCGUCCCCAGAGUUUUUCAUGACGUCGAGAAAGUUCCUCCAUCUGUGAUAGUGACCCCUGAACCCUGCACAUGACCCUUGACCUGGAGUCUAAGUUUCCCAUGUGUAUCAAGAAUGGUCCACCAGCCAAUUUGACACAACUGGAUUGGAGUCAACAUGGGGUCAACAUGGGCCAGCAUGACUAAGAAACCAUGACAGAGGAAUGCUGAUAUCUUAACAUCAUUCCGCGGCGCCAGACGGCCACAAAGCACAACGUCCACACAUCUCCAAACCACCCAGAAACCAAGCAACAGACCCUGUACAGAAGUCCAGAUGGACCCGUCACCCAACACCGCACACCUUCAUGACGAGAUUAUCCCCCGAAACAAAUGACAACAAAACUAAACAUCCAAGGAAAAUACAGAGUUCCUGUUUGAUCAACUACUAAAACUCCUGGAUUCUCUCUUUCUCUUUUCACCAGUAGCUACAUACAUAAUUGUGACUGAACAUUGUGACAAAGAUACAGUACCACAUUGUACAUUACAUUUUGUAGAGUAUUAUAAGUUAUAAUAUGUAGGUUGGAGGUCUAACUGUAGACAGACACGGUAGAGAGGAGAAGUGAUGACGCGUGAGUUCCCGUUAGCACAUAGGCCCAAUGCUGUUCCUGUAAAUAAUGGGCAGUAGAACUGAAUAGGGCCUCAUAUGGAAUACAGCUAGUCCAUCUGUAUAUAGCCAUGACACCAUAGCUCUAAUAUGUACAUAGGCAUUCAAUUAUACCUCCUUAUUUCUCCUAUCCCCCUUCAACCCUCCUACACUAGCGCAAUGAUACUCACCAUAUCUCCAUAUUCAGACAUGUAAAAUAUAUAUAUACAGGAGGAAACUGGAUACAGAGAGAAGAUACACACAGUGUCUGUUGCAGCUGGAAACACACUGGAGUGAGAAACACAGACCCACUUUGGCUGGAAUAAGGAACUUGUGAACUCUCCCUGCCACAAAGAGGCACACAAUAACCCCGGUUUGUAUGUGUAUUUUACUCCCCUUAGUGAAGUGAAAGUUUCAGUUCAAUGGUUUGAAAGCUUUCUACAGUCCACUCAAUGUACAAAUUGUCAUUUUCAUCCACACUUCCUCCCUCUCCCUCCAUUCCUGAUUGGCUAGUCCUUCCUCUCUCCCCCAGUCCUGAUAGGCUGUUGACAGUUGGUGUGGGUGUGUCAAUCAGAGGGCCUGUAGGUCCGUAGGCCUCUCUGAGACCAGGCGCUCGCUUAGCUCCCACAGGCUGGCUGCAGUGACCUGGUCCUCGGCCUGGGGGGAGGGCAGGCAGCGGAAACAGUUGUUGAAGUACAUCCCUCCUAGACCCUCCAGCUCCGGAGCUACCGCACAGUACACCGUGGUGGCUGCCCCCUGUUGCUGUGGAGACAAAGAGACAGAGGGACAACAGUCAACAUGGAGGACAGAGACAGAGCAGCACUGAUCAACAUCAUCUGUGUGGGAGGAGGGGACAGUCAGAGAGAAUGACAGAGACCCUCUUGUCCGACAAGAGAUACACAGGAACUCCAGCCACCCUACAGAUCCUGCCAAGACACCUCCACUGGAAUACACACCUGUACUCAGUGACCCUCAUCUCUCCUGAUCCUCCAGAGCAUCCAUAUGAGACAGACAAGGAUCUCCAUACAAACACAGAGAGACAGAAAGAUAGACACAGAGAGGAUAAACUCCAUAGAGACCCCCUCUCUGCCACAGCCCAUAAUGAUGGGGCAGUGUUACCAUAGGGACUAUGAAUCUGGAUAGAUAUGUAUAUACAGUACCAGUCAAAGGUUUGGACACACCUUCUCAUUCAAGGGUUUUUCUUUAUUUGGACUAUUUUCUACAUGAUAUAAUAAUAGUGAAGACAUCAAAACUAUUAAAUAACACAUAUGUAAUCAUGUAGUAACCCAAAAAGUGUUAAACAAAAUAUUUUAGAUUCUUCAAAGUAGCCACUAUUUUACUUGAUGACAGCUUUGCACACUCUUGGCAUUCUCUCAACCAGCUUCAUGAGGAAUGCUUUUCCAACAGUCUUUAAGGAGUUCCCACAUAUGCUGAGCACUUGUUGGCUGCUUUUCCUUCACUCUGUGGUCCAACUCAUCCCAAACCAUCUCAAUUGGGUUGAGGUUGGGUGAUUGUGGAGCCCAGGUCAUCUGAUGCAGCACUCCAUCACUCUCCUUGGUCAAAUUGCCCUUACACAACCUGGAGGUGUGUUUUGGGUCAUUGUCCUGUUGAAAAACAAAUGAUAGCCCCACUAAGCGCAAACCAAAUGGGAUGGCGUAUUGCUGCAGAAUGCUGUGGUAGUCAUGCUGGUUAAGUGUGCCUUGAAUUCAAAAUAAAUCACAGACAGUGUCACCAGCAAAGCACACCGACACCAUCAUACCUCCUCCUCCAUGCUUCACAGUGGGAACCACACAUGAGGAGAUCAUCCAUUCACAUACACAGCGCUUGGAACCAAAAAUCUGAAAUUUGGCCUCAUCAGACCAAAGGACAAAUUUCCACUGGUCUGAUGUCCAUUGCUUGUGUUUCUUGGCCCAAGCAAGUCUCUUCUUAUUAUUGGUGUCCUUUAGUAGUGGUUUCUUUGCAACAAUUCGACCAUGAAGGUCUGAUUCACGCAGUCUCCUCUGAACAGUUGAUGUUGAGAUGUGUAUGUUACUUGAACUCUGCAAAGCAUCUAUUUGGGCUACAAUCUGAGGUGCAGUUAACUCUAAUGAACUUAUCCUCUGCAGCAGAGGUACCUCUGGGUCUUCCAUUCCUGUGGUGGUCCUCAUGAGAGCCAGUUUCAUCAUAGCCCUUGAUGGUUUUUGCGACUGCACUUGAAGAAACUUUCAAAGUUCUUGAAAUGUUCUGGAUUUACUGACCUUCAUGUCUUAAAGUAAUGAUGGACUGUCGUUUCUCAUUGCUUAUUUGAGCUGUUCUUGCCAAAAUACGGACUUGGUCUUUUACCAUAUAGGGCUAUCGUCUGUAUACCACCCUUACCUUGUCACAACACAACUGAUUGGCUCAAACACACUAAGAAGGAAAAAACUCCACAAAUGUCCUUUUAACAAGGCACACCUGUUAAUUUAAAUGCAUUCCAGGUGACUCCCUCAUGAAGCUGGUUGAGAGAAUGCCAAGAGUGUGCAAAGCUGUCAUUAAGGCAAAUUGUGGCUUCUUUGAGGAAUCACUUUUUUGGUUACUACAUGAUUCCAUAUGUGUUAUUUCAUAGUGUUAAUGUCUCCACUGUUAUUCUACAAUGUAGAAAAUAGUAAAAAUAAAGAGACACCCUGGAAUGAGUCGGUGUAUCCAAACUUUUGACUGAUUCUGUACAUAUAGUUCUAUAUUGUGUGUAUACAGGACUGCUGACUCUCCACAGAGUGCAUGCUUAUGUGAAUGUGGUAAAUACAGACCAUGGGCAACACUGUCUGUCCACAAAACAACACGAUCUCUGUAGAAUACCACAAUAACUGUAGGAAGGUGGCGACUGUUCAUCCAGAUUUGACGUAAAACACACCCAAAAUAUGUUGCACUUGAUAUUUCUACAGCUGCAAUAUUUUGUAGUUGUUUUGUGGACGUUUGCACACUGCGAGGGCUGUUUCCUGGACAGAGGAUGUGGCCCACAGUGUUCUAGACUGGGGAGGAGGGAGCAGCUCUUCUCAUUGGGAGCGGGGAGCCAGAGGGUUCUGUAAACUCUCUAUAAGAGAACAUACAGUAUCUAUGCCAUGAUUACACAUCUGUAUAUGUUCACAUCAUCUAGAGGUUCAUGAGGGAAGUCAGACUGUAGAGUAGAAUAGAGAGCAACAGUCCUAAACAGUAAACAUUGUAGUACAUGCUGUUUGCCACAGUAAAGAGUGAGAUACAGCGGUAAAGAGUGAUAUGAUGAGAAUAGUGCUCUUGUACACACACGUCAUAUACAGUACAGGCAUGCACACGCUCGCAAACCCCCCUCCUUUCUCUCUUCUCUUUCUAAGAAACGUAGAGAGCAGACAGCCUGUAACACUCUCUGCCCUACACCCUCUAAUUGAGUAGGAAAUGACUACUCAGAAGCUGUGUUUCUCAGUUUAACAUCUCAAAUCCAGUUUACAGUAGUGUGUAGUCACACUGUACUGAGACAUGCCGCCCUAAUGCAGCACCAGACGGCACAGUCGGUAAUUAGGAGCGGCGAGAGGGAGAGAGGGAGUGCGAUUCCACAGCGUUUGAAACAGAGAGAGGAAGAAACAGACAUCAGAGAAUAUUACAGCCAGAAUUCAGGCGCUCAGAGGAUCUUUCAUGUAGCCCUGCUGCUGGCUAAAAACUGCUGUGACGUUAUGAGAAGACAGGAGACUGUUCUGGAGAUGACUUCUAUAGACACAUGAAAUACUUCUCUCUGGCUAACUGCUCUUUAUCUACAAAUGAGACUGGGGGGGAGGACUGGUGAGAGACUGCAGUGCAGAGCAGUUUAGUACAGUGCACUGGCAGAGCAGCAAGGGUCUGUACACAAACAAACACACACACACGCACAUGCAUACGCAUACGCACACGCACACACACACACACACUAACACACACACACACACACACACACACACACACACACACACACACACACACACACACACACACACACACACACACACACACACACACACACACACACACACACACACACACACUUCAAAGGCACAGCCUCAUUGAGGCUCAUUUGAGCAUCUGCAGCCCAAGCUGGCAGAGGCUAAUACAGAGUCACACAUACGGAGAUAUACCAGAACUGUUCCAGCACACACACACUGGCUGUCAUUAAGAUCUAGCAACACACACAGUCACACAUACGGAGAUAUACCAGAACUGUUCCAGCACACACACACUGGCUGUCAUUAAGAUCUAGCAACACACACAGUCACACAUACGGAGAUAUACCAGAACUGUUCCAGCACACACACACACUGGCUGUCAUUAAGAUCUAGCAACACACAGUCACACAUACGGAGAUAUACCAGAACUGUUCCAGCACACACACACUGGCUGUCAUUAAGAUCUAGCAACACACAGUCACACAUAUGGAGAUAUACCAGAACUGUUCCAGCACACACACACUGGCUGUCAUUAAGAUCUAGCAACACACACAGUCACACAUACGGAGAUAUACCAGAACUGUUCCAGCACACACACACUGGCUGUCAUUAAGAUCUAGCAACACACACAGUCACACAUACGGAGAUAUACCAGAACUGUUCCAGCACACACACACUGGCUGUCAUUAAGAUCUAGCAACACACACAGUCACACAUACGGAGAUAUACCAGAACUGUUCCAGCACACACACACUGGCUGUCAUUAAGAUCUAGCAACACACAGUCACACAUACGGAGAUAUACCAGAACUGUUCCAGCACACACACACUGGCUGUCAUUAAGAUCUAGCAACACACACAGUCACACAUACGGAGAUAUACCAGAACUGUUCCAGCACACACACACUGGCUGUCAUUAAGAUCUAGCAACACACACAGUCACACAUACGGAGAUAUACCAGAACUGUUCCAGCACACACACACUGGCUGUCAUUAAGAUCUAGCAACACACACAGUCACACAUACGGAGAUAUACCAGAACUGUUCCAGCACACACACACUGGCUGUCAUUAAGAUCUAGCAACACACACAGUCACACAUACGGAGAUAUACCAGAACUGUUCCAGCACACACACACUGGCUGUCAUUAAGAUCUAGCAACACACACAGUCACCCAUACGGAGAUAUACCAGAACUGUUCCAGCACACACACACUGGCUGUCAUUAAGAUCUAGCAACACACAGUCACACAUAUGGAGAUAUACCAGAACUGUUCCAGCACACACACACUGGCUGUCAUUAAGAUCUAGCAACACACACAGUCACACAUACGGAGAUAUACCAGAACUGUUCCAGCACACACACACUGGCUGUCAUUAAGAUCUAGCAACACACACAGUCACACAUACGGAGAUAUACCAGAACUGUUCCAGCACACACACACUGGCUGUCAUUAAGAUCUAGCAACACACACAGUCACACAUACGGAGAUAUACCAGAACUGUUCCAGCACACACACACUGGCUGUCAUUAAGAUCUAGCAACACACAGUCACACAUACGGAGAUAUACCAGAACUGUUCCAGCACACACACACUGGCUGUCAUUAAGAUCUAGCAACACACAGUCACACAUACGGAGAUAUACCAGAACUGUUCCAGCACACACACACUGGCUGUCAUUAAGAUCUAGCAACACACAGUCACACAAUGUACACACAAAUGUACACACAGUAACACAAUGUACACACAGUCACACACAGUCACACAAUUUACACACAGUCACACACAUGUACACACAGUUACACACAGUCACACACAGUCACACAAUGUACACACAGUCACACACAUGUACACACAGUCACACACAUGUACACACAGUUACACACAUGUACAUACAUGCACACACAUGUACACACAGUCACACAAUGUACACACAGUCACACACAGUUACACACAUGCACAUACAUGUACACACAGUCACACAAUGUACACACAAAUGUACACACAGUAACACAAUGUACACACAGUCACACACAGUCUUACACAUGUACACACAGUCACACACAUGCACACACAGUCUCACAGUCACACAAUUUACACACAGUCACACACAUGUACACACAGUUACACACAGUCACACAAUGUACACACAGUCACACACAUGUACACACAGUCACACACAUGUACAUACAUGCACACACAUGUACACACAGUCACACAGUCACAGAAUAAAGUGCAUGCAUACAUACACAGACAUAUAGUAGACACUCUCAUUGAGCAGACAGACACACUUCCUUCUCAGUGCUGGUAGUAGCAGAGGCAGAUUGAGGCGGUUUGAAACCGCAGAUGAAACAACUGCAUCUCUCUGCUGUCUCCCUCCCUGCCAGCACACUGAUAACUCUACACACCUCAUAGGACUGGCAUAUCAAAGGCUCACACAUGUCACACCCAGACCCACAUAUACACACUUCAAAAGCAGGGUGUCAGAUCUUUUAGCUAACCAGUCACCCUCAGGUAUCUGCUUUAGAACGUAGACACAAACUCAUUGGAAGAUGCAAUAUAUUUACCUGCCUGCUCAUCUUACUCUACUUCCAGGGUCAUCUCUGUUUUAGGUGAAAGGUGGACCAUCAAUACAUUGGAAUGAUUUACACCUGAUCUGAGAACGCAGCUCUACAGCACAGCAGGGAAUUCUGUCUGAGGGAGACAACCAAGAUAUGUACACAGCAGAAGGAGAGCGAGGGUCAAAGAGAGAGGGAGAAAGAGUGUGUGUGUGUGUUAUCUUCUUGGUGUUCAGCUCGGCCCUCCCACUACAUGACCUUUUUACCCGUGUAAGAGAUAAGCCUGAUGAGUUUAGCAUGCUGGACAUUAACAUGUGGAACCACCCACCACCACUAUCUAUCAGAGAGACAUAGAGAGAUGAAAGGGAAUGUGCUGGGCUGGUGACAUGCAUGCAUACACACACACACACACACACACACACACACACACACACACACACACACACACACACACACACACACACACACACACACACAAUCCCUCCUGACAUGUACAGUAGCCCAACAGAUGUCUAUAAUCAUGUACAUUAUAAAUAAUACCUCACAUUCUAGGUGUCGACCAACCAAUGGCUCUUUCUAUUUGUGUACUAGUAUUUGUCAAUGUAAAUCUUGGGGUUGGUUUGUUAUGGUCCUAUCAGACAGAACUGACCACUGCAAACUGGUGAGUGGAGAGGAAAGGGUUAAUUGAGUGUGAGCCCGAGCAACUGUCCCCGAGACAUGACAUCACAUGAUUCACCAGAACUACAAGGGGAAGGGAAGCGGGAAGAAGAAAACUCUUUCACCAUCACUUCAGCAAUAUACAAGAUCUUUUCCAGACCACUUAAACACACAAACCUGACCUCUGCAAUCUCUAUGCUUUAAGAGCUGCAAUAAACAGGCCCUAGAUCAGCAGCAAUAACCUGACCAUGUCUGGCCUGAACCAUCACUGCUCUGGAAAAUAGUCCUGGAUCACAUUUAUGUCUUCCAAUUUUCAACAUAAUGAAAAUAUUUCCAAUGUCUUUGGAAAGUAUUCUGCAAUACUUAACUGUUGAACAGCCAAACAACAGCAGUACUCUUCAAUGUAUUAAAAAGCAAGGUCAGAGAGAAGGGAGAUAUUGGUGUUGAAUCAUUAAAGGGAAACUAUACUGUACCUCAGAGUUGUUCGGUGUUGUUUUCAUAGUAUAACAUGUUACUGUUGUGAUCUCCAACCAUGUCUAAUCACUCUGUGCUUGUACAGUACAGCAAUACUAUAUGAUGCAUUGUGCUAUCUGUUAGCAUAGGACUAAUGCACCAGGAAGAGAAAAGACACGUUUUGUUUCUGCCUCAUCAAGGUGGUGCACUGUCAUUCUGUCAUACGAUCGUUCUCUGAUAAUAUGUGUGACCCUUUUCCCUGACAAGUGUAUUUAUGACAUUGACCUGUAAAUACACCCAGUACUGUGGAGCAGUCUGUUCGUGGCCCAGCCUGUCCUGCCCUGUACAAAGGAACAUGUAAAUAGCAAACGGCUAUGCAUGCUGACACUCUAGCACUUCUUUCAGGUACUUUUAUAAUCCCAAACUGCUCAUAUGGCAUGUCCUGAAAAUCAUCUAUGAACACAGAAAAUAAAAAGAGAAUAAAACAGACGAUGACAUCCUGGACAACGUGUAAAGUCCUACAGUUUUCUUACUCUUGUGGGUGGUUCACUUCUGUUCCUUUAACUGUCAUUCUGUCAUUCUUAAUGUGGUUAAACCAUUCUGGUCAAGGUUCUGUUCAGUUGUCUUGGUGUGUGAAGGGUCGAGGCAAAGCAGAGAGGCAAUCUGUGUGUUAACAACUAAAGCCUGGUUAAGAGUCUGUCCACAUCUGUCACAGGGCAGCAUAGUCCUCUCUUGUUGUGACAAGAGCAGACAUGACUGGCUCUGGCAAAACACACAGGGGGACACUGAUUGUGAUUUAACACGGUUCUGUUUAAGGAACUAGAAUUGGAACUAGGCUAUAUAACAAGCUUAUAUGAUGACAGAAGAUAGUAUGAGCAGUAAAAUAACUUUGCCUCAGCCCUAGAACCCAGUCUGUCUGAACUAACAGUCUCACAUGAAGGUCUAUCUAUGCCAUGAUGGAGAAGAUGGGACUCCAACAGGACUUUGUGCUUUUGUUGAUACUUUAGGAAUGUUUAUUUCCAACCCCAUGGUGUUCACAAUAGAUGGAAGUAUCUGAUUUUUUAAUCUGUGCUAAAGAUAUUUCACAUUUAAUAAAUGAUCAUUGUAACAACA